AGCUUCAAUAGCGUAUAUUAAAGUUGCUGCGGUUAAAAAGCUCGUAGUUGGAUCUGUGUCUCGCACUGCCGGUUCAUCGCCCGUCGGUGUAACUGGUCGGAUGCGAGAUGUCAUGCCGGUAGGGGUGUCUAGCUGCGAGGUGCCCGCGAGGUCGAAUUUACUCUUCCGGACGGUCCCUCGUAAGCGGCCCCGGCUCAAUCCUGCUUUGGUGCUCUUUACUGAGUGUCGAGGUGGGCCGGCAAUUUUACUUUGAACAAAUUAGAGUGCUCAGAGCAGGCAAGUUUUGCCUGAAUGGUGGUGCAUGGAAUAAUGGAAGAGGACCUCGGUCUGAAUUUGUUGGUUUAACGGAUCGGAGGUAAUGAUUAAUGGAGACAGGCGGGGGCAUUCGUAUAUUGUGGCUAGCGGUGAAAUGCUUUGACCCACAAUAGACGAACUACAGCGAAAGCAUUUGCCAAGGAUGUUCUCG
rnacentral:rRNA from 1 species